AGAUUUCAAAAUAUAUUUAUAUUACUAUUCGGAAGUGACGAGACUAUCUGGAAUUAGACAGAAGGAAAAAUGACUCUCAUACGUAAAUAUCAACGUACUUUGAAGGACCUGUGUCUCUACGGAUCUUAUGGAAAUUCAGAACGAGUCGGAAAAGCUUCAUAUGCUACAACUAGACAUUACUUAUUAAAUAAGACCCCAAUGAGCAAGUAUUUGAUAGAACUCAUUAUAGAAUACAUACAAGGAUGGUUUUUGUCCAUUCUGUUUACCGGCCUCCAAAGUAACAGAGUUUCGAUGAACUUUGCCUAGCGACUGGUAGAAGACAAGUUCUCACAUAAAAACGAACGGCAGAGAAGGAUGAAAUCUCUGAGGACCUCUGCAGAAUCAGUGAAUAUAUGAUGAUCAUUAUCUCAAAUCUUCAGAAGGCAGUGAACUAUUGAGAGAGAGAAGAGUGUUACCUUAUUUGAUCCAAGAACUGAUUUCUCUUUCAUGGUAAUGGUUAUGAUGACAAACAGCGUAGUUUGACCGUCAAGAACGAGGAUAUCCAAAACUUAAUGAACAAUCUCAGUGUCAAUAGAAUAUUUUGUAUACUGCGUGACCUAAGACCAUCUGUGAUGAAGCAAGCCCAUCCCCAUCCUUGAAGGGUUUCUUAAGGCUUCAAAUGACUUCGUUUGAGUUUUGAAUAGUACACAAUUCAACUUCAAACCCGACAGCCUCGGUUGAUUUGUUUCUGAUGUCAAUAAACCUAUUUAUGUAUAGUGUUGUUUUUAUUAUGUAAUAAACCCUUUGUAGAUCUUGUACGGUAAUAUAUCUUACGUGUAGAUAUAGUUACUGAUAAAUACUGAAAA
rnacentral:lncRNA from 1 species